GGGCGGCCUCGGUGUGGUGACACACUGUAGCCGAUGCCUAGCCGCCCCCCCGGGGGAAGCGAAGCACAAGAGGGUCAGGGGGUAACCCCCGCCCCUGCCUCGGGAUGGGAGAGCCUGAGCUUAGCGGCUCUUGGCGCUCUCGGCCUGGGUGCUUAAACCCUGAAACCGAUACACCGUUAGGCGAUGGAUUGCUUGGUACCCGCUUCGACGAAGAGCGCAGUGAAACGCGAUAACGCUUGUGAUUCGCACUCUCUGUGAUCAUCGUUCCCUCGAACAACGUGCGGCCUUGCCUCGGCACUGGCCCCCCUGACUACGCUGAUGGUUUAACUAUAUUACAUGAGCCUGCCAGCCCAACCCCACCAAGGAACCCCUCUCGGGGGGUUCCAGGAGGAAAGGGAUGGCAGCAGGUGUACACUGCCUUGGUGCCUCGCGGCUAACCUCGGUUAAAUUCACAUCCCCCACCUGAUACUGGCGUGACCACUGACAACCCCACCGCAGGAAUGCACCGGGGGUAAAGCGGGCUGCCAAUGAGGGUUUCUCUAGUAAGCAUCCUGGCAAACAGACCCAGUUUCAAGCAGCUUCCCCACCGGCUCAAAGGUGCCACCGGGGCAACGCUAGGCGAGGACGAACAACUCCAUGCCCGGCUCGAUAUACAGGCUGUGGGACUCAUUAGCCAUAGGAUCGCUGGCCGGGAGCCCGACCGAAGACCGUAGCAAGUUAGGGCGUUCACCCGCUAAAUUUAAGCAUAUAAGUCAGCGGAGGAAAAGAAAUCAAUAGAGAUUCCCCAAGUAGCUGCGAGCGAAAAGGGAUUAGCCCGAGACCGAAUCCUUCUGACCCUUGCGGACUAAGGACCUGUAGUCUAAGGCUGGGACCCGCGAUGGCGGAGCUUGUAGCAGACGGGAUGAUCUCCCGGAGCACAGGGCGUUACACACGACCUGACAGGCCGAGCUAGCAAGGGACUCAACCGUGAGUAGGCUAGCUUGAAAGUGCUGGCUGAAUACGGGUGGUGCUGAUCAUCCAAGGCUAAAUACGACAGCGUGGUAACCGAUAGCAGACAAGUACCGUAAGGGAAAGCUGAAAAGCACCUCGGCUGAGGAGCUAAAAGAGCAUGAAAUCCGUCUAGCGUGAACCAGAAAGCCAGUUUCCUUUCGGGCGGCCGGUGGGGGUAAUUCCUCGCUGCAUGGCCGCCUACUGGAGGUGCCAAAUCACCGAGAGAGCUCCGUGGUGUGUGUGUGGGGUGGGUCGGCUGAGGCUGGCUCGCACCGCUCGCUUGAUCCGCAGUGACCUUCGGGCCGAGGGCUUACGUCCGGGAGCAGUCCGCUGCAAACGGCGUAAUACGCAUCUAUGAACUGGGGCUCUGACCCGUCUUGAAACACGGACCAAGGAGUCUAACGUACAUGCAAGUCGUCCAGCCUUCAAGCUGACCGGCGAAGCUCAUGCAAAAAGCACCAAGGAGCCUCGCGUUCCCGCACUGCUCUCCUUGGUCGGCCCCCGGGCUGGCCCUGGAGUUUGAGCAUGUAAUGUUAGGUCCCGAAAAACGACGAGCUAUACUUGGGUAGGCUGAAGCCAGGAGAAAUCUUGGUGGAAGGCCGUAGCAGUACUGACGUGCAAAUCGUUUGUCAAAUCUGAGCAUAGGGGCGAAAGACCAAUCGAGUCGUUUAGUAGCUGGUUUCCAC
rnacentral:misc_RNA from 1 species